rnacentral:rRNA from 1 species
CAGCCGCCGCGGUAAUACAGAGGAUGCAAGCGUUAUCCGGAAUGAUUGGGCGUAAAGCGUCUGUAGGUGGCUUUUCAAGUCCGCCGUCAAAUCCCCGGGCUCAACCCUGGACAGGCAGUGGAAACUACCAAGUUGGAGUACGGUAGGGGCAGAGGGAAUUUCCGGUGGAGCGGUAAAAUGCGUUGAGAUCGGAAAGAACACCAACGGCGAAAGCACUCUGCUGGGCCGACACUGACACUGAGAGACGAAAGCUAGGGGAGCAAAUGGGAUUAGAUACCCCCGUAGUCCCUGUCUCUUAUAC